CAUUGAGUGACUGAAAGCAAGUAAUGGUCUCUUAAACCACAUAAUAGUAAAUUAGCAAUUACUCUCAAUGG
rnacentral:tRNA from 1 species